UACGUAGGGCGCAAGCGUUGUCCGGAAUUAUUGGGCGUAAAGAGCUCGUAGGCGGUUUGUCACGUCGGGUGUGAAAGCCCGGGGCUUAACCCCGGGUCUGCAUUCGAUACGGGCAGACUAGAGUGUGGUAGGGGAGAUCGGAAUUCCUGGUGUAGCGGUGAAAUGCGCAGAUAUCAGGAGGAACACCGGUGGCGAAGGCGCCACUCUGGGCCGAAACUGACGCUGAGGAGCGAAAGCGUGGGUAGCAAACAGG
rnacentral:rRNA from 1 species